GUAAAUGCGAUGAAGGGGAAAAAGACAGCUUCCUUCCAGUCAGAGAGCCGGCGGGCGGUGCGAGCCGGUGUGGGGCGGGCUGUGGAUAACUGGCCCCCGAGCAGUCCGCCUGAAGGCUCAGUAGGGCGGGACGUGCGGCCCCGUUACCGGCCAGAGCCUUGCUGGAGGCUGUGAGGGCGGAUGGGCGACCAUUCGCUGAACCAGGGUGGUACCGCGUAGUAUGUUACGCCCCUGAC
rnacentral:ncRNA from 1 species